ensembl:lncRNA
AGUGCACUACUCCAUGCACACUCCCUCCCUCGUUACCGCCUCGCCUCGCCUCGCCUCGCCUGCUGCCUCCCAGCCGCCAGCAAGUUCGCCUCACGCUUCCUCCUUCGCUUUCGUCCUUUCUUUCUCCUCAACAACAACAAAAAAAUCCCACAUCGCUCCUGCUGAAAGCUGCCGAGCUGAGCGACAGCUGGGAGGAGAAGUAAACUUGGUGGCUGAAGAAAAAGCUCCGCAGACAACACCAGUGAGUGGGACGCGGCUGGUUAUAGAAAUGAUUGUGGGCUUAUUUACGUGUUUGAGUUUGCUUUAAACCGAGGGGCCGAGCUACAACAUUCAGCACUUUCCCCUCCUCCUCCUCCUCCUCACUACCCCUCCGUGAGCAAAAACAAGAGGUCUGCACAGCUGUUGGUCUUCUCAGUAGUCAGGUUGUGAAUGUGGAGCAGUGAGGCAGAAAGGUGAGCAACAUUUCAGGGAGCCUUUAAAAAAUAUUUAUAUAAUAAUUCAGUUCAGCUAUUAGUAAGGGAAUAUAUAGGAGCAUAACCCCAGAAAUGAGCUUUAUGUGAAUAUAUUCAAGUAUAACGUAGCAUAUAAGUGUCAUGUUUGUGUGUGUGAGUCUCAAAAUAAGAACUUGUUUAUGAUCUCUAGAUUUACCGUAACGUCUUGUUUAUUGGUUUGUGCACAGUUUUUUUUUUUUUUAAUUCUUCCCUCUCAUCCACAGCUACUGUAGGCCAUUUCCUGUGCUUCCAGUUGCCAUUAUGCCAUUAUUGUAAUGGUCCAGGCGACAGCUUAACGCACCCACAGGAAAUGCAUGUCCUGAUUGACCACUCUGACCUUUUGCUCCUGCACAUUCAGGCUGCAGUUAAGAUAGCAGUCUGACAUUUCUGUUUUCUCCCUCCAUGUCCGUUCUUCUUACUCUAGUACUUCCUGGUGAGACGGCGUAUUCGGUCCAUGUGUCAUACGUGUUGUGUGUGUAAAGUGUUGCGCAGUGAAAUGUUAUGAGGUAUGGCAGGGGUAUGGAGGGUGAGUAGUGUGUUGUGUGUGUGUGAGGCUGUUUGUUCUGUUUGAUUUCACACUAUGUGAUAUGGACCGUGGCCUCGUAAAAACGCAGUGCCAAUUCCAAGAUAAGAUCAGGAGGGCGGCUGUGUCUCUCUCACUGUCGGUCACCGGUGUUGAAAAUGUGUCAAUGUUUUUCAUUUCUUACUAAUACAGAUCAUAUAGGAAUGAAAACAAAUAAUAGUUUAAGCCUGUGCCUCAGAACACAUGGCUGAUGGACAUGCCGCCCCCCCCCCCCCCCCCCCCAAAAAAAAAAGUUGGGAAACCUGCCUUCCGG